rnacentral:piRNA from 1 species
UAGUAAGUUGUGGUAAAUAUU